CUACGGGCGGCACCAGUUAGGAAUAUUCGUCAAUGGGGGAAACCCUGAACGAGCAAUGCCGCGUGAGUGAUGAAGGUCUUAUGAUUGUAAAACUCUGUUGUAUAGGAAGAAUUGUUAGUAUAGGAAAUGAUACUAGCUUGACGGUACUAUACCAGAAAGCCCCGGCUAACUACGUGCCAGCAGCCGCGGUAAUACGUAGGGGGCAAGCGUUAUCCGGAAUUAUUGGGCGUAAAGAGGUCGUAGGCGGUUUAUUAAGCCUGUGGUUAAAGACUGAAGCUUAACUUCAGUAUGCCACGGGAACUGGUAGACUUGAAUACUGUAGAGGCAAGUGGAAUUGCUAGUGUAGCGGUGGAAUGCGUAGAUAUUAGAAGGAACACCAGUGGCGAAGGCGGCUUGCUGGGCAGUUAUUGACGCUGAGGAACGAAAGCGUGGGGAGCAAAUAGGAUUAGAUACCCCAGUAGUC
rnacentral:rRNA from 1 species